rnacentral:rRNA from 1 species
UACGUAGGGGGCUAGCGUUAUCCGGAUUUACUGGGCGUAAAGGGUGCGUAGGUGGUUUCUUAAGUCAGGAGUGAAAGGCUACGGCUCAACCGUAGUAAGCUCUUGAAACUGGGGAACUUGAGUGCAGGAGAGGAAAGUGGAAUUCCUAGUGUAGCGGUGAAAUGCGUAGAUAUUAGGAGGAACACCAGUAGCGAAGGCGGCUUUCUGGACUGUAAACUGACACUGAGGCACGAAAGCGUGGGGAGCAA